UACAGACCAUGUUACAGACCCCGUUACAGACCAGGUUACAGACCCUGUUACAGACCCAGUUACAGACCAGUUACAGACCCUGUUACAGACCAGUUACAGACCAGGUUACAGACCCUGUUACAGACCCAGGUACAGACCAGGUUACAGACCCUGUUACAGACCCUGUUACAGCUGGCGCUCAAUAUUAUACAGCUAUUAUUUCAUGAAUGUGUGAAACGAUAACUGGCUGAAGGGGAGUCGGUGACAACAGGAGCUGUCCCCCAAACGGCACUCUAAUUCCUAGAUAGUGCUGUUCACUACUUUAGACCAGAGGGUGAAUACGUUGUCGGGAUGCAUCCCAGAGUGUUUUAAGCGGCUCGGGAGGCCGGCAGAUGGGUCAGACUAAAGCUGAUGAUACACUGGCAGAAUUCCAGAGCAACGUUGCCAGCAAUGAACAGAUGAGAGGAGGUUGUCCCCUUUCUGUAGGUAUAUGUUUUAUUACUCCUCUCUCUGUAGGUAUAUGUUUUAUUACUCCUCUCUCUGUAGGUAUAUGUUUUAUUACUCCUCUCUCUGUAGGUAUAUGUUUUAUUACUCCUCUCUCUGUAGGUAUAUGUUUUAUUACUCCUCUCUCUGUAGGUAUAUGUUUUAUUACUCCUCUCUGUAGGUAUAUGUUUUAUUACUCCUCUCUCUGUAGGUAUAUGUUUUAUUACUCCUCUCUCUGUAGGUAUAUGUUUUAUUACUCCUCUCUCUGUAGGUAUAUGUUUUAUUACUCCUCUCUCUGUAGGUAUAUGUUUUAUUACUCCUCUCUGUAGGUAUAUGUUUUAUUACUCCUCUCUGUAGGUAUAUGUUUUAUUACUCCUCUCUGUAGGUAUAUGUUUUA